UGAGGAAUAUUGGGCAAUGGACGCAAGUCUGACCCAGCCAUGACGCGUGAAGGAUGCAGGACCUAUGGGUUGUAAACUUCUUUUAUACGGGAAAAAACCACCGGUCGUGUGUCGGUGAUGAUGGUACCGUAAGAAUAGGCAUCGGCUAACUCCGUGCCAGCAGCCGCGGUAAUACGGAGGAUGCAAGCGUUAUCCGGAUUCAUUGGGUUUAAAGGGUGCGCAGGCGGAUUAAUAAGUCAGUGGUGAAAUCCUACGGCUCAACUGUAGAACUGCCAUUGAUACUGUUAGUCUUGAGUAUUGUUGAGGUAGGCGGAAUGUGUCAUGUAGCGGUGAAAUGCUUAGAUAUGACACAGAACACCAAUCGCGAAGGCAGCUUACCAAGCAAUAACUGACGCUCAUGCACGAAAGCGUGGGGAUCAAACAGGAGUAGAUACCCUGGUCUUU
rnacentral:rRNA from 1 species